CAAAAUGGAGGAAUAAGAGGUCCCGCCUGCCCUGUGACUAUAUGUUUAACGGCCGCGGUAUUUUGACCGUGCGAAGGUAGCGCAAUCACUUGUCUUUUAAAUGGAGACCUGUAUGAAUGGCAUAACGAGGGCUUAGCUGUCUCCUUUUUCAAGUCAAUGAAAUUGAUCUCCCCGUGCAGAAGCGGGGAUAACACCAUAAGACGAGAAGACCCUAUGGAGCUUUAGACACCAAGGCAGAUCAUGUUAAACACCCCUUCACAAAGGACUAAACCAGAUGAACCCUGCCCUAAUGUCUUUGGUUGGGGCGACCGCGGGGAAACAAAAAACCCCCAUGUGGAAUGGGAACACUCCUUCCUACAACUAAGAGCUCCCGCUCUAAUGACCAGAACUUCUGACCAAUCAGAUCCGGCAACGCCGAUCAACGAACCGAGUUACCCUAGGGAUAACAGCGCAAUCCCCUUUUAGAGCCCAUAUCGACAAGGGGGUUUACGACCUCGAUGUUGGAUCAGGACAUCCUAAUGGUGCAGCCGCUAUUAAGGG
rnacentral:rRNA from 1 species